AUAUCCAAAGGUAUUCCCCUUUAAUGCAUUAUAAUAAACAUCUGACUGGAGUAGAAUGGUGAUUCUAGUGUGUUUCUUAUACUGUAGGUCAAUUUCGAAUUUCAGAUAAGCAAAUAAGGUCUGCAGGCAGAAGCCCAGUGUGAGCCCCCAGUGUUGGGGAGAAACUGAAGGGGCAGAAGAUCCGGGAGAGGGCCCAGUGGGCAAACAAAUGGAAGUACUGUAAAUCUAAGAUCCAAGUGGAGACUUAUCGGGUGGAGGUUCCCCGAGCUGUGCUAUAAGAGGAGGUGUCCUCCUCAUCCUCUAA
rnacentral:lncRNA from 1 species